GGCGAAACCGAUUAAAACCGCUCAAUCAGAAAAUGUCUCAGCCAAAAGAAUUUAUGAUACUUUAAAAUCAAAAAAAUUUCUGGAGGAUUUAUGGUGUGACAUGGUUUCAGAUAUGAAGCAAAAGCCAUCUUAUAUUCGGAUAAAAGAGAUGGUAAGACAAUUAAUAAUGGAACAAAGCGAAUACUUAGCUUCACCCCCUAGUGAUUCAGAGCGGCUGAAAAAGAAAACCAAGUUAGCUGAGAUAAGCAUUUUGGGACAUUCAAUUGAUACAGUACUUUCAAAAGUGUUAUACCUCAAGUUGCAAAAUGAAUUCCCGUCUUUUAUUAUUGACAUGAUCAAUGAGUUCGAAAAAAACCCAACUGAAAAUGGAGAUCAUG